AGAGUUUGAUCCUGGCUCAGGACGAACGCUGGCGGCGCGCCUAACACAUGCAAGUCAAACGAGCGAGAGAGAGCUUGCUUUCUCGAGCGAGUGGCGAACGGGUGAGUAACGCGUGAGGAACCUGCCUCAAAGAGGGGGACAACAGUUGGAAACGACUGCUAAUACCGCAUAAGCCCACGACCCGGCAUCGGGUUGAGGGAAAAGGAGCAAUCCGCUUUGAGAUGGCCUCGCGUCCGAUUAGCUAGUUGGUGAGGUAACGGCCCACCAAGGCGACGAUCGGUAGCCGGACUGAGAGGUUGAACGGCCACAUUGGGACUGAGACACGGCCCAGACUCCUACGGGAGGCAGCAGUGGGGAAUAUUGCACAAUGGGGGAAACCCUGAUGCAGCGACGCCGCGUGGAGGAAGAAGGUCUUCGGAUUGUAAACUCCUGUUGUUGAGGAAGAUAAUGACGGUACUCAACAAGGAAGUGACGGCUAACUACGUGCCAGCAGCCGCGGUAAAACGUAGGUCACAAGCGUUGUCCGGAAUUACUGGGUGUAAAGGGAGCGCAGGCGGGAAGACAAGUUGGAAGUGAAAUCUAUGGGCUCAACCCAUAAACUGCUUUCAAAACUGUUUUCUUGAGUAGUGCAGAGUAGGCGGAAUUCCCGGUGUAGCGGUGGAAUGCGUAGAUAUCGGGAGGAACACCAGUGGCGAAGGCGGGCUACUGGGCACCAACUGACGCUGAGGCUCGAAAGUGUGGGUAGCANACAGGAUUAGAUACCCUGGUAGUCCACACCGUAAACGAUGAUUACUAGGUGUUGGAGGAUUGACCCCUUCAGUGCCGCAGUUAACACAAUAAGUAAUCCACCUGGGGAGUACGACCGCAAGGUUGAAACUCAAAGGAAUUGACGGGGGCCCGCACAAGCAGUGGAGUAUGUGGUUUGAUUCGACGCAACGCGAAGAACCUUACCAAGUCUUGACAUCCCUUGACGAACAUAGAAAUAUGUUUUCUCUUCUGAGCAAGGAGACAGGUGGUGCAUGGUUGUCGUCAGCUCGUGUCGUGAGAUGUUGGGUUAAGUCCCGCAGCGAGCGCAACCCUUACUGUCAGUUACUACGCAAGAGGACUCUGGCAGGACUGCCGUUGACAAAACGGAGGAAGGUGGGGAUGACGUCAAAUCAUCAUGCCCUUUAUGACUUGGGCUACACACGUACUACAAUGGCGUUAAACAAAGAGAAGCAAGACCGCGAGGUGGAGCAAAACUCAGAAACAACGUCCCAGUUCGGACUGCAGGCUGCAACUCGCCUGCACGAAGUCGGAAUUGCUUGUAAUCGUGGAUCAGCAUGCCACGGUGAAUACGUUCCCGGGCCUUGUACACACCGCCCGUC
rnacentral:rRNA from 1 species